AUUGAACGCUGGCGGCAUGCCUUACACAUGCAAGUCGAACGGCAGCGCGGGGCAACCUGGCGGCGAGUGGCGAACGGGUGAGUAAUAUAUCGGAACAUACCCUAGAGUGGGGAUAACGUAGCGAAAGUUACGCUAAUACCGCAUACGCACUAAGGUGGAAAGUGGGGGAUUCGCAAGAACCUCAUGCUCAUGGAGUGGCCGAUAUCUGAUUAGCUAGUUGGUGAGGUAAAGGCUCACCAAGGCAACGAUCAGUAGCUGGUUUGAGAGAACGACCAGCCACACUGGAACUGAGACACGGUCCAGACUCCUACGGGAGGCAGCAGUGGGGAAUUUUGGGACAAUGGGGGCAACCCUGAUCCAGCAAUGCCGCGUGAGUGAAGAAGGCCUUCGGUUGUAAGACUCUUUGUCAGGAGAACGGUGAGAGCUAAUAU
rnacentral:rRNA from 1 species